AGGACAUAUUCUAUUUAGCAGUUUAUGAGAGAGAAAUACAUUGAAAGAGGAUGUGCUUGACCUCUGCAGACUGAGCCUGGCCAGGUCCCUGCUUGUCCUGAGACGAUGAGAGGAGGCAUGAUGUGGCCAUGGAGUGCUGGAGCAGCCGGGAGCGUCACCUUCACCUGGCCCCUCACUAGCUGUCUGCUGUCUUCUUACAAUGCUGGCGUGUCUCCAGGGCUGUGCUGAUCAAGGAGUCUCACUGGCUUUCCAGAAGAGCACAGAAGUCCUAAUUUGUAGCCUUUGCUGACUUCCGUGAUUCCAGUUCCCUCACUGACGGCAGAGUUGGGAGGAGGAGCAGUGAUGCUGACAUGCCACACCGGGUCAAGAAAGAAGUAAUGCAUGACUCUGAUUUGCGGCUGCAGGAUAAAUCCGAACUAUUUCAGGGAGAUGUCAUGGAGAGCUCAUCUCUCAGCAUCAAAGUUGCCUCUCCUGACUUUUAAAUUUUAAGUGUUCUGUGUGGAAGAAAAAUGGAGACAACAAAUUUCUAUGCAUGGAUUCAAAGAAUCCUCGUAAUAUACAGACUACAUUCUCCCCAGCUUUUUAUCUCUAUAUAUUCUUUUUGUUGAGUUUCAACCACAUAGGGUUGAAAUUCACCUUCCCACAUUACAU
rnacentral:lncRNA from 1 species